rnacentral:rRNA from 1 species
UUUCCUACGGGGGGCAGCAGUAGGGAAUCUUUCACAAUGGGCGAAAGCCUGAUGGAGCAACGCCGCGUGCAGGAUGAAGGCCUUCGGGUUGUAAACUGCUUUUAUAAGCGAGAAAUAUGAUGGUAACUUAUGAAUAAGGAUCGGCUAACUACGUGCCAGCAGCCGCGGUAAUACGUAGGUGGCGAGCGUUAUCCGGAAUGAUUGGGCGUAAAGGGUGCGUAGGCGGCCUGCUAAGUCUGGAGUGAAAGGUACCGGCUCAACCGGUACAGGCUCUGGAAACUGGCGGGCUAGAGAGCAGGAGAGGG